UACGGAGGGGACUAGCGUUGUUCGGAAUUACUGGGCGUAAAGCGCACGUAGGCGGAUCUUUAAGUCAGGGGUGAAAUCCUGGAGCUCAACUCCAGAACUGCCUUUGAUACUGGGGAUCUCGAGUCCGGAAGAGGUGAGUGGAACUCCGAGUGUAGAGGUGAAAUUCGUAGAUAUUCGGAAGAACACCAGUGGCGAAGGCGGCUCACUGGUCCGGUACUGACGCUGAGGUGCGAAAGCGUGGGGAGCAAACAGG
rnacentral:rRNA from 1 species